rnacentral:rRNA from 1 species
AGUAAUGUCUGGGAAACUGCCUGAUGGAGGGGGGUAACUACUGGAAACGGUAGCUAAUACCGCAUAAUGUCGCAAGACCAAAGUGGGGGACCUUCGGGCCUCAUGCCAUCGGAUGUGCCCAGAUGGGAUUAGCUAGUAGGUGGGGUAACGGCUCACCUAGGCGACGAUCCCUAGCUGGUCUGAGAGGAUGACCAGCCACACUGGAACUGAGACACGGUCCAG